CCCAACUCUGAUAAGGAAUUGUUUUGAUGAAAUCUGACGCAUUUGAUGGUGAUCCAAUGGCCAAAAACUAGUUUUACAAUUAGGACGCAGUUGGGACAUGGGAUGAGUGGUUUAAUGCAGUAAGGAGUCCUAAUACGUGAAAGGCUAAGAGAUUUGAUACGGCCAAGACUUGGGGGGUUAUGAAGGCUAUAUAAAAAGAGGUCCCAGGG
rnacentral:lncRNA from 1 species